rnacentral:lncRNA from 1 species
UAUAUAUAUAUAUAUAUAUAUAUAUAAUUUUUAUUUAUAAAUAUAUAUUCAUUUAUUAUAUAUAUUAUUUUAUUUUUAUAUAUAAAUAUUUAUAUAAUAUUUUAUUUAUAAAUUUAUAAUUAUUUAUUACUAUUUUUAAAUAUAUAAAUUUUAUGUAUUAUUAAUAUAUGUUUAUUAUUAAUAUAUGAAUAUAUUUAAUCUAUAUAUAAAAAUUAUAAUAAUAAUAUAUAUAGUAUAUUAAUUAUUAUAUAUUUAAAAUAUAACCGAAUUUUUGAUUCCGAAUUUUUAAUUGGUGAACGUAUAAUAUCCGUAUAAAUCACGUAUCCGAAUAAUUACCAAAUUCGUCUUUUAGCCAUAUUUUUUAACGAAUCUAAAAAUUAAAAGACGAAUUUUAUCCGAAUUAUACCUGUAUCGAAUUUUUGCCUAAUCCGAAUUAACUAACUAUGCAAGAAAGUAUAGAAAUAGAUCCCUAAAUGCUUUUAUUCCAACUCCAUUUUAUCUAAUAGCAUCAUAUAGACCUCAAUACCAAACUAAGUCUUACUAAUUUGAAGACCAAAGUGUAAGCAAUUUGAUCACAAUAUUUGUUUAAAAAAAAAAAUUUAGAACAAUUAUCACGGGUCUUACUAAUUUGAAGACCAAAAGCGUAAUUAGUCCAAAUAAAGAUAGAGUUAAAUAUCGAUUGGUUUUGUUCAAUUAGUAAUUUUAUUCAAGAAAAAAUAUAUUAAACUAUCUAACAAAUUUUAUAAUGCCUAAUUGUUAAAAUUAAAAGUCGACCAAUUAUAUUUUGGAUAUUUCAAAAAUUGUAGAUGUAAAAUUGAUCACUUAUCAGAUUAUAAUAUAAUAUUAAAAAUUGAUAUUAAAAUCAAAGUAAAAUCGUAUAAAAUUUGUCUAAACUAUGAAUCAAUUUGAAUUAUCUAUUCAACUUUUUAAAUUUUUAUUUUUACUAUAAAAUCAUUCUAUAUGUUCGAUUUUAAAAUUCACGUAUAAAAAAUC